UUUGGGUACGUAGUGCUUGCUAGCAGAGGAGGGUCAGUACACGUCAGACAGGGAGCUGUGGUGUUUAAGGGCGCUGUGUGCAGCUUCCUUAUUUAACCUGGAUUUUCUCUCAACAAGACAGUGAAGCGUGCCAUGGGUGCCUGUGUGUGCUGGUGCAGGCGUAGUGCCUCCCGGGAGGUGCCUGGAUCUGCUCAUGAGAGCCAGGAAGGCUCAUAAUACUGUAUUGUAGUUGUGGGGCUCAGCAUGACAGCGCCUGGCGAAGCUCUAUGUAAGGUACAACGCGAGCCAAUGUUACCUGGACGUCCAUUUGUAGGAGUACCAAACCCAAGACUGCCUUAUCCCCAUCUGCCUCCCCCCUACUCCCCCCGUACUCCAUGGCCCAGCAGUGACAUCAUUCCAUGUUUAAUAUGAUGCCAGCUGACGUAUUCCUGACACGGCUGUACCAGGAACAAGAAUCUGAUGGUGAAGGAAGGGGUGACGGUGAAGGUGGAGAGGUGCUGGAAGGGCUUCGUGUAGGGCAGGUGUUCUUAACCUUUUGAUGGUUCCAUACCCCCAGUGGAUUGUCGAAUAUGGUCCCAUACCCCCUUCACUUGACUGUUCAAAUAAUUAUCACCAAUCCUAUUAUUUGCCAGUAUGUCUUCCAGAUAC